GCAAGAGAGGAGGUGAUUCAACCCUGAGGGCAUGAGGGAGAGAGAACUAGCCCCAUCCCUAGUCUACUGAGGCAUGGCUUUGUUGAAGGAGAAAUGUGUCUCUCCUCACCCCUGCCUCUCACUCCUUGCCACCUACAGUAGACAGGAGAGCUUCCUUUUGUGACAUCAUCUUGUUCUGUGUCUGUGAGCCCUGCCCCCUCUGCCCUGCUUGCCAGAAUUCAAGUGACCUCUCUACCAAUGAUGUCAAUACUCUUGGAAACGAGGAGCAAUGGAAAACAUGGAGUUUCCAGGUUAUCCCCCAACAAGACCUGCAUCUCCAGGCUAUUCUUCCCUAGCAAAUCCAGCAUCUAUCACCAGUUUCCAGGUUAUCCCCCAACAAAACUGCACGUUCAGGCUACAAGCUCAUCUCUGUCUAACAAUCACCAGUUAGGAGAAAAGAAGAAGCUAUGUUUGU
rnacentral:sRNA from 1 species